GACGAACGCUGGCGGCGUGCUUAACACAUGCAAGUCGAACGGAAAGGCCCUGCUUUUGUGGGGUGCUCGAGUGGCGAACGGGUGAGUAACACGUGAGUAACCUGCCCUUGACUUUGGGAUAACUUCAGGAAACUGGGGCUAAUACAGGAUAGGAGCUCCUGCUGCAUGGUGGGGGUUGGAAAGUUUCGGCGGUUGGGGAUGGAUUCGCGGCUUAUCAGCUUGUUGGGGGGGUAGGGGCUUACCAAGGCUUUGACGGGUAGGCGGCCUGAGAGCGUGACCGGCCACAUGGGGCCUGAGAUACGCACCAGAAGCCUACCGGAGGCAGUAGUCGGGAAUCUUGCACAAUGGGCGGAAGCCUGAUGCAGCAACGCCGCGUGCGGGAUGCCGGCCUUCGGGUUGUAAACCGCUUUCGCCUGUGACGAAGCGGGAGUGACGGUAAUGGGUAAAGAAGCACCGGCUAACUACGUG
rnacentral:rRNA from 1 species